CAGGAUGAACGCUAGCGACAGGCUUAACACAUGCAAGUCGAGGGCAGCAUAAAAGUAGCAAUACUUGGUGGCGACCGGCGCACGGGUGAGUAACGCGUAUGCAACCUACCUAUCAGGAGGGGAAUAACCCGGCGAAAGUCGGACUAAUACCGCAUAAAACAGGGGCACCGCAUGGUGAUAUUUGUUAAAGAAAUUCGCUGAUAGAUGGGCAUGCGUUCCAUUAGGUAGUUGGUGAGGUAACGGCUCACCAAGCCGACGAUGGAUAGGGGAACUGAGAGGUUGGUCCCCCACACUGGUACUGAGACACGGACCAGACUCCUACGGGAGGCAGCAGUGAGGAAUAUUGGUCAAUGGGCGGGAGCCUGAACCAGCCAAGUCGCGUGAAAGGGAAGAAGGAUCUAUGGUUCGUAAACUUCUUUUGCAGGGGAAUAAAGUGCAGGACGUGUCCUGUUUUGUAUGUACCCUGAGAAUAAGGAUCGGCUAACUCCGUGCCAGCAGCUGC
rnacentral:rRNA from 1 species